rnacentral:ribozyme from 13 species
UUUUUUUUUUUUUUUUUUUUUUUUUUCACGAACCAAAGUAUGUUUUAUUCGGUACACAACGGGCCGCA